rnacentral:rRNA from 1 species
UGAGGAACAUGACCUUCGGCGGGGGAUAGCCGGCCCAACGGCCGGGUAAUACCGCGUACGACCACAUGGGGACAUCCCUGAGUGGUGAAAGCAGCAAUGCGCCGAUGGAGUGCCUCGCGGCCUAUCAGCUAGUUGGUGAGGUAACGGCUCACCAAGGCGACGACGGGUAGCUGGUCUGAGAGGAUGGCCGAGCCACAGUUGGGACUGGAGACACCGGCCCAGACCUGUACCGGGA